GCUGGCGGAAGAGAUCGUACCCAAAAUCCUGCACCAUUACAGCACCAGCUCCCAGGCGCUGGGACUAAACGCCAGGCAGAUGGACACAGCCCUUACUCUGCGCUUCAUUGAGAGCAUCUCCGCAGUCAGCCUGGCCGUCCAGAGGAGCGGGGAAUCCCAGCCGCACGAGCUUCCCCACAAACAGGUGCUGCUCAGCCAGCUGCUGGAGAUCAUUAAGGCCGAGCCACGGAGCUCCCUGCUCUCUCCAGUUCGCCAGGAGGCAAUGGUGGCCAUCGGGCAGCUGAG